AAAAAUCCUUAUCCUCUCUUCUUCUUCUUCACUGUUGUCUCGUCAGCUUAAGCUUAAUCUCCUUUAAUGGCGUCUCAUUUCUGAAAACGAACUUAAAAUCUUAACGAAACUGUAGUAUCCGUCAAAAGGAGGAAAUUUGAGAGAAAAUCUUCAUCUUAUCUGUCAGAAGUUUUCAUUUUUUUUGGGAUGCCGAAGAGAUUAGCGUCUUCGCUCUCAGAUGAGGUGCUGGAGCAUGUAUUCUCGUUCAUACAAUCGGAUAAGGAUCGGAACGUGGUAUCGGCAGUGUGUAAAUCGUGGUACGAGAUCGAGCGGUGGUGUCGGAGGAAGAUAUUCGUCGGGAACUGUUAUGCUGUGAGCCCUAAGAUGGUGAUCAGACGGUUCCCGCAAGUUAGAUCCAUUGAGUUGAAAGGGAAACCGCACUUCGCUGACUUCAAUUUCGUACCGGACGGCUGGGGCGGUUACGUUUUGCCAUGGAUUACGGAGAUGGCUGGCGCUUACCCUUGGCUCGACGAGAUUCGGCUUAAACGGAUGGUCGUCACGGAUGAAAGCUUGGAGCUUAUUGCUAAGUCAUUUAAGGAUUUCAAAGUAUUGGUGCUUGCUUCUUGUGAAGGGUUUUCAACUGAUGGACUUGCUGCCAUUGCUGCUAGUUGCAAGAACCUGAGAGAGCUGGACUUGCGAGAAAGUGAAGUGGAUGAUUCAAGUGUGCAUUGGCUCAGCCAUUUUCCUGAGACAUACACAUCCAUGGUGUCUCUUAACAUUUCCUGUUUAGGAUCUGGUGAAGUUAGUUUCUCGGCUUUGGAGCGCCUGGUCAGUAGAUGUCCGAACCUCAGGUCCCUUAAACUCAACCGCGCUGUUCCCCUUGAUAAGACUGCCAACAUAUUACGACUUGCACCGCAGCUGGUUGAAUUCAGCACUUGCACCUAUUCGGCUGAGCUACGUUCAGAUGUCUUCUCAAACUUGGCUGGAGCUUUUUCUAAUUGCAAGGAACUAAGGAGUUUGUCUGGGUUUUGGGAUGUGGUUCCGGAUUACCUUCCGGCUAUUUACUCUGUCUGCUCUAGAUUAACGUCACUGAACUUGAGUUACGCAACUAUACAAAGCCCUGAUCUCAUCAAGCUUGUAAGCCACUGUCCGAGUUUGCAGCGCCUAUUGGUACUUGAUUAUAUUGAAGACAGUGGCCUUGAAGCACUUGCAUCUAAUUGCAAGGACCUGCAGGAAUUACGGGUUUUUCCAUCUGACCCGUUUGAUGCCGAACCAAAUGCAUCCUUGACAGAACAGGGCCUUGUUGCUGUUUCUUUGGGUUGUCCUAAGUUACAAUCAGUUUUGUACUUCUGCCGCAGAAUGUCUAAUGCAGCUCUAGUCACAAUUGCUCAGAACCGUCCAAACUUGACCCGGUUUCGUCUUUGUAUAAUUGAGCCAAAUACAGCUGAUUACCUGACUGGAGAGCCAUUUGAUGUUGGUUUUGGAGCCAUUGUUGAGCAUUGCAAGGAUCUCAUACGGCUUUCCCUCUCUGGUCUCCUCACAGAUUGCGUGUUUGAAUAUAUUGGAAAAUAUGCAAAAAAGCUGGAAAUGCUAUCCGUGGCUUUUGCAGGAGAUAGUGAUUUGGGACUCCAUCACGUGCUUUCAGGGUGUGAAAGCCUACGGAAACUAGAAAUUAGGGACUGCCCCUUCGGAGACAAGGCUCUUUUGACCAAUGCUGCAAAGCUGGAGACAAUGCGAUCCCUUUGGAUGUCUUCCUGCUCCGUGAGUUUCGAAGCUUGUAAGCUGCUAAGUCAGAAGAUGCCCAGGCUGAAUGUUGAAGUUAUAGAUGAGAGGGGACCUCCUGAUUCAAGACCCGAGAACUACACGGUCGAUAAGCUCUAUAUCUACCGAUCUGUGGCUGGGCCAAGGUUUGACAUGCCUCCUUUUGUUUGGACGAAGGAUGAAGAUUUGGCUUUGAGGCUUUCUCCAUAGAUCUCAUCUGAAGUGGUCAAACUAUGGCGGCUCAUUCGAUCUCAAGAACAGAUGUACCAGGGCAGAGAAAGGAAGAAGAAGAAGAGAGAUGGGGCAGUUGUGCAUAGAGCUCAACGUGGAUAUGAUGGGACUUGUGCUUGCGCUAGUUAUCGCCAUCGCUCUCUUGCUUUCCUGCGUCAACCAACCUCCCCGGCCCCGCCGACCAAUGGUUGUUACUCAUCGUUUAGGUUGGUAAACCCUUCGUUUUGCGUCUUUACUCCCCAAGUUACUCGAGUAACUUAAGUCUCAUAAGGUCAUUGAAAAUUGAAUCCAUGUAUAAACUCCUUUAUUUUUUUGUGAAUUAAGUAAUUGUAUAAACUCCUUUGUGUUUAUAUUUGAUAUUGUGGUUUAAAGCGUACUCAAA